rnacentral:lncRNA from 1 species
GUCCUCCGGAGGUUUGAGGAGCUAAGCAGAUGAUUCUAAAGCACAGCAAAGUUGAGACACUAAAUGCUGGGCGUGGGUACGAGCAAUGCUGCCAUCAUUUCAAUUGCGGGCUGGGCCAAAUCUUUGUGCUCAGCAAAGACCUUUUCACCAGGGGCGUGAAUAGAGGUAAGUGAGGUGGCCACUUUCUCCCAGCCCAGUUUGGUUCCUACCCAAAGGGGCAUCGCAGUGCUGUGGCUCUGCUCUGUGUGCAGGAAUGUCUUCCCUGAAGGCAUGGAGAUCCACGGAGGGUUGUGCUCUCUUGAGUUGGUGAAUAAAUAAUCAAGGACAUUCUUUAGCUGAAUGGUACCUCUGAGCAGGAAGUGUGGUCCUACCACAGCAGGUCUUGUUUGAAUGGCUGUAUGGAUUUUGCAUGAAUCACCCCUGUCCAACGCUGGAGACACCCUUUCCAGAAGAUCCUGAUUCCAGUCUGCAUCCAUCAACCAGUUGCAAGGCUCUUGGAAGCAUCUCUGGGCUUUUGAGCGAUUUCACUCGACCAGGUACUUUCUAGUUUAUAAAUACGAGAGGAUUCCAUUCCGCUUAGACAAUUCCACGAUUGAGAAUGGGCUUUCCUUUCCCCAAGCUUACGUAAACUUGCUCUCCAACUCACAGACACUUGGGCAUCGAGUUUUUAAGCUGAGCCCACAAAAACGAAGACAAGUUCACUUUUAUUAUUUCUAGAGACACCAUCAUCUUUAGUCAGUGACUUGGUGUUUUUUACCCUCCUGUACUUAGUGAGGACUUGGGAGAGAUUUCUUCUGAUGAAUCAACAUAAUUGACUUUCUAAUUAAACACAGUACAACAAUUUUAAAUUGUUUCAUGGAGCUUAUGAAAGACAGCUAGUGUCUCAACACUUGUUGAGACACGGGUGCAAAUGCAAUCAGGAAACGAGGGUUCCCUGUAUGAUCUUACAAUUGCUGCUGUGCUUAUCAGUAUGUAUUAGGGUUUGUAUCUACUUAUUACAGGUUGUGUAUCUCUUAUCUGAAAACCUUAGGGGUUGUAUUUUAUAUUUUGGAAUAUUUGAAUACACAUGGUUGGAUAUCUUGGUGAUCAUACCAACCUCUAAACAGAAAAUUGUUUUCAUAUAUAUUUUUUAAACACACACACACACAGACUCACACACAGCAGCAGCAGCACAUCAUCACUAUUGCCACCACCACCACCACCACCAUUGCCACUGAAGGUCCUUAUGUUUUCAUUGCAAUCAUAUUACUGCGAUAUCUCUAGUCCCUUGUUAGAGACAGAGUCUCAGGUAAUGAAAGGUCACCCCAAACUUAAUAUGUAGCUGGAAAUGACCUUGCACUCCUGACUGUCCUACCCAGACUCCAGUGCUGGGAUUAUUUUGUGCAACACCACACCUGGCCCUGUGUGCAUUUAAACAGUGAUUCAGGCAGAAGUGCUGAGGUGUGUGGUCCUUAUGUGGGCUCUAGAGAAAGGGUUUCCAAAGAAUGUAUGGUCGAUGUCAAUGUCGAUACAGCCCUGCUACACACACACACACACACACACACACACAAGAGGUUUCCUUCAUUCAUUUCUUAUCGUUUUCAUCAAGACAAAUGAACAAGAAAUAAGUAUUUAUAUUUUCACAUUCAUUUGUUUGUUCGUUUGUUUGUUAUUUGAGUCAGGGACUCACUAUGUGUCUCUGACUGACCAGGAACUCAUUAUGUAAACCAAGUUAGCCACAAACUCAUAAAGAUCUGCUUGCCUCUGUCUACUGAGUGCUGGGAUUAAAGGCGUGAACUACUAUGCCCAACAUAAUAAUUUUAAAAAUUAUUUACUUUAUUUUAUGUGUAAAUACGUGUGUCUGAGUGUAUAUGUGCACUGCUUGCUGGCAAGAGCUCACAAAGGCCAGAAGUGAAUGUCAGAUGCUCUGAAACUGUAUUGUAGGUGGUUGUGAGCCACCUCGUGGGUGCUGGGAAUAGAACCUGGGUCCUCUGCAGGAGCCAUCUCUCCAGCUUCUAACAGAAAUAUUUUUAUCUGCGGCUAAAAUAGUGCUGCCAAUCAAACACACAGCUUUCUGCUUCCAUAUUUAUGGGACAUAAGACCCCUAAAUAUUUACAGGCAGAGACAUACAAUAAACAGAACACGAAAAAAGUUAAUAAUAGCUUUCUGAUCAGGAUUGGGUAGAAACUAUUAGUGAGCAACCCCACGUCUGCCCCUACCCAAGGGCUUUUAUACGGUUGGAGCCAUGGCUCAGUGGUAGAACAUGUGUCUAACAUUGGUGUACCGGGUGUGAUUCCUAGAAGUCAGAAUAGAAAUACCAACAUGUGUCAUAGGGUUUCACUUAGUACAUUCCUAUGUGGCCCCUGCCAUUGCUAUCAUGAUCUCUCUCCACUUUAUCUUAUUAUAGUCACCUGGUUUUGCUGCUGAGGCUUAGACAUUCCAGCCAAGGGAACUCAUUUCACCGAGCUUCAUCCAUGGGUGGUUCUGGAGUGGGUUAUCUAUGC